rnacentral:tRNA from 1 species
GGAGGUAUAGCUCAGUGGUAGAGUGCAUACUUAGCAUGCACAAGGUUGUGGGUUCAAUCCCCAGCACCUCCA